GUCGAGGGGCAGCGAGUAGAUUGCUUGCAAUCUACGUCGGCGACCGGCGCACGGGUGCGUAACGCGUAUGCAACCUACCCAUUACAGGGGGAUAACACUGAGAAAUCGGUACUAAUACCCCAUAACAUCCAGGGAGGCAUCUUCUUGGGUUGAAAACUCCGGUGGUAAUGGAUGGGCAUGCGUUGUAUUAGUUAGUUGGUGGGGUAACGGCUCACCAAGACGACGAUACAUAGGGGGACUGAGAGGUUAACCCUCCACAUUGGUACUGAGACACGGACCAAACUCCUACGGGAGGCAGCAGUGAGGAAUAUUGGUCAAUGGACGCAAGUCUGAACCAGCCAUGCCGCGUGCAGGAAGACGGCUCUAUGAGUUGUAAACUGCUUUUGUACGAGGGUAAACGCAGAUACGUGUAUCUGUCUGAAAGUAUCGUACGAAUAAGGAUCGGCUAACUCCGUGCCAGCAGCCGCGGUAAUACGGAGGAUUCAAGCGUUAUCCGGAUUUAUUGGGUUUAAAGGGUGCGUAGGCGGUCGGAUAAGUUAGAGGUGAAAUCCCGGGGCUCAACUUCGGAAUUGCCUCUGAUACUGUUCGGCUAGAGAGUAGUUGCGGUAGGCGGAAUGUAUGGUGUAGCGGUGAAAUGCUUAGAGAUCAUACAGAACACCGAUUGCGAAGGCAGCUUACCAAGCUACUUCUGACGUUGAGGCACGAAAGCGUGGGGAGCAAACAGGAUUAGAUACCCUGGUAGUCCACGCAGUAAACGAUGAUAACUCGUUGUCGGCGA
rnacentral:rRNA from 1 species